GAUGAACGCUGGCGGCGUGCCUAAUACAUGCAAGUCGAGCGAACGGACGAGAAGCUUGCUUCUCUGAUGUUAGCGGCGUACGGGUGAGUAACACGUGGAUAACCUACCUAUAAGACUGGGAUAACUUCGGGAAAUCGGAGCUAAUACCGGAUAAUGUUUUGAACCGCAUGGUUCAAAAGUGAAAGACGGUAUUGCUGCUACUUAUAGAUGGAUCCGCGCUGCAUUAGCUAGUUGGUAAGGUAACGGCUUACCAAGGCAACGAUGCAUAGCCGACCUGAGAGGGUGAUCGGCCACACUGGAACUGAGACACGGUCCAGACUCCUACGGGAGGCAGCAGUAGGGAAUCUUCCGCAAUGGGCGAAAGCCUGACGGAGCAACGCCGCGUGAGUGAUGAAGGUCUUCGGAUCGUAAAACUCUGCUAUUAGGGAAGAACAUAUGUGUAAGUAACUGUGCACAUCUUGACGGUACCUAAUCAGAAAGCCACGGCUAACUACGUG
rnacentral:rRNA from 1 species